GUCGACGGUGAAGCUCCUGCUUGCAGGGGUGGAUCAGUGGCGAACGGGUGAGUAACACGUGAGCAACCUGCCCCCUACUUCGGGAUAAGCCUUGGAAACGGGGUCUAAUACCGGAUAUGAACACUUGUCGCAUGGUGGGUGUUGGAAAGUUUUUCGGUGGGGGAUGGGCUCGCGGCCUAUCAGCUUGUUGGUGGGGUAAUGGCCUACCAAGGCGUCGACGGGUAGCCGGCCUGAGAGGGCGACCGGCCACACUGGGACUGAGACACGGCCCAGACUCCUACGGGAGGCAGCAGUGGGGAAUAUUGCACAAUGGGCGAAAGCCUGAUGCAGCGACGCCACGUGAGGGAUGACGGCCUUCGGGUUGUAAACCUCUUUCAGCAGGGAAGAAGCGCAAGUGACGGUACCUGCAGAAGAAGCGCCGGCUAACUACGUGCCAGCAGCCGCGGUAAUACGUAGGGCGCAAGCGUUGUCCGGAAUUAUUGGGCGUAAAGAGCUCGUAGGCGGUCUGUCGCGUCUGGUGUGAAAUCCCAUGGCUCAACUGUGGGCUUGCAUCGGGUACGGGCAGACUAGAGUGCUGUAGGGGAGACUGGAAUUCCUGGUGUAGCGGUGGAAUGCGCAGAUAUCAGGAGGAACACCGAUGGCGAAGGCAGGUCUCUGGGCAGUUACUGACGCUGAGGAGCGAAAGCAUGGGGAGCGAACAGGAUUAGAUACCCUGGUAGUCCAUGCCGUAAACGUUGGGCACUAGGUGUGGGGCCAGUUCCACUGGUUCUGUGCCGCAGCUAACGCAUUAAGUGCCCCGCCUGGGGAGUACGGCCGCAAGGCUAAAACUCAAAGGAAUUGACGGGGGCCCGCACAAGCGGCGGAGCAUGCGGAUUAAUUCGAUGCAACGCGAAGAACCUUACCAAGGCUUGACAUGUACGAGAAAGCCCCAGAGAUGGGGUUCUCUUUGGACACUCGUACACAGGUGGUGCAUGGUUGUCGUCAGCUCGUGUCGUGAGAUGUUGGGUUAAGUCCCGCAACGAGCGCAACCCUUAUCCUAUGUUGCCAGCGGGUUAUGCCGGGGACUCAUGGGAGACUGCCGGGGUCAACUCGGAGGAAGGUGGGGAUGACGUCAAAUCAUCAUGCCCCUUAUGUCUUGGGCUUCACGCAUGCUACAAUGGCCGGUACAGAGGGCUGCGAUACCGUGAGGUGGAGCGAAUCCCAAAAAGCCGGUCUCAGUUCGGAUCGGGGUCUGCAACUCGACCCCGUGAAGUCGGAGUCGCUAGUAAUCGCAGAUCAGCAACGCUGCGGUGAAUACGUUCCCGGGCCUUGUACACACCGCCCGUCAAGUCACGAAAGUUGGUAACACCCGAAGCUCACGGCCCAACCCC
rnacentral:rRNA from 1 species